AUACUUGUCCUAGAUUUUUGCAAAAGUCAUUUAUUUUAUUAAAAGAAAAUAAAGAACAUUAUUUAAUAAUUUAACCGACUUUGAUUAGAAUUGCUUUGAGAUAUUGUACAGUACAAUGGAUAAUUUGCCGUUGCAGCAAUAAUAAAGCUGUAGUAACACGCAACUAUAGUAACAAUACAGUUCAGUAAAUGGAAAUAGGCUAACAAUCGUCAACAAUGUUGCGGCAUACUUAUUAUUACUGCGAUAAAGCUUUGAACAAGUUUAAAUAACAUAUUUAUCAUCAAACAGUAAAGAUGCAAAAUGGUCGAAAAUUAUACAUUAAGGUUUGUUUAUAAUUAUAUACUUGGCAUUCCGAAAAUCAAGCACACAUCUGAAAAUCAAUACUGCUAAACUACAAUCCAUAGAAUCUUCUACAAAUCUAUAAAAUGGCAGAGAAAAAGUAAGAAAUUCAAUCGUGACAAACGCCUGAAGUGACAGAGUACAAACUAGCAAAGAAAAAAAAAGACCACGUAAUGAAGAAGAUUCUGUUGAAAUUUAUAUGAAAAAUCGACUGAUGAUAUCUUCAGGUUUCCUGCAAUGUUUUCACGAAUUAAGAGUAAAUUAAUAAUUGAAGAUGUACUUUGAAAGAAUUCUUCGAUGCUGCGUGCUGAUGGAAAAGAAAAAUUCAGCUCAUAACAGAAAAAUAUGCAUUCUUACAGUUAAAUUUAGCAUUUCGAGGCAAUAAAAUAUGCAAUUGUAAGGGCAAAACGCAGUUUUCUUGAGGGAAAAAACCGAACGAAAAAGAUGCAGCUCAAGAGAAAACAAAAUGCACAUCUAGCAACAGAAAAAUGCAACUCGCAAGGGAAAAAGAUGCAGCUACUGGGGAAAAAAGACGCAGUAACGGGGGCUAGCUGGAUCUCACAGGGGAAAAGAUGCAGCUAAUAGAAAAAAAUUCACUCCACAGAAAACAAAAGAUAUAUUCUAACAGAAAAAGAAGUGGAAAGUUUCAAUUCGCGGAAGAAAUAGAGCAUUUUAUAAAAGAAAGAUGCAUUUUUACCAUGGAGCAGAACUAUAAACCGUAAUUCAUGGUAUCAAACAAGAAAAUAUCCGACUUUUCGGGCAAUGAGAUGCACUCAGUAGGGACAGAAAUGUAUAGGAAGAUGAAAUUUUACAAGAGCAGGAAGCAACUCAUACACACGACCCGUUGAAGAAACUUUGCAAUCUACCAUUUAAGAGCCAGCAAGGAUCUCUUCCCUUUCAAGAAAUUUGCAAAUAAAAAAAAAACAAAAUUUAUAAGUUUGUAAUAAUAAAAUAUGGCAGAAUUAAAUUAAAAUUUAAGAAUUCUUCAUAGAUUUAAAGCAUUUCUAAAGAGCCGCAGUCAGAAUUUAUGCGUUUUGCAGCUCGUUUGCAAUAAUUCAAAAGAAGUAAAUUAGUACAAAUGAGAAGGAAGAGCAAAAUGGAGGAAAUAUAUAACCCCCAGUCGGGCAAUCGGUAAAUCAAGCAAAAAGCUUUAAAAGGAAGAUAAGAAGGUACCAUCUGCCAAAAAUCACAAAUCAAUCCAUCGGUUGUCACGUGACGUUUCUAUUACAC
rnacentral:lncRNA from 1 species